rnacentral:rRNA from 1 species
AACGAACGCUGGCGGCAGGCUUAACACAUGCAAGUCGAGCGCCCCGCAAGGGGAGCGGCAGACGGGUGAGUAACGCGUGGGAAUCUACCCAUCACUACGGAACAACUCCGGGAAACUGGAGCUAAUACCGUAUACGUCCUUCGGGCGAAAGAUUUAUCGGUGAUGGAUGAGCCCGCGUUGGAUUAGCUAGUUGGUGGGGUAAUGGCCUACCAAGGCGACGAUCCAUAGCUGGUCUGAGAGGAUGAUCAGCCAGACUGGGACUUGGACACGGCCCAGACUGCUACGGGAGGGAGCAGUGGGGAAUAUUGGACAAUGGGCGAAAGCCUGAUCCAGCCAUGCCGCGUGAGUGAUGAAGGCCCUAGGGUUGUAAAGCUAUUUCACCGACGAAGAUAAUGACGGUAGUCGGAGAAGAAGCGCCGGCUAACUUCGUGCCAGCCGCCGCCGUAAGAC